UCUACUGUUAGGGAUCUGUUCCGGUGUCUUGCCGCCGCCUCUGCCGUUGCCUUGCCGCCGCCUUGUCGCCACAUUUCCCUGCCGACCUCUCCCCUCGUAGCACUCAUUGCUUUGAAGAAAGGAACACAACUAAUCAAGUAUAGCUGGAAAGGGAAGCGCAAGUUUUGUACAUUUAGACUUUCUCGAGUAAAAAAUUAUCCUUUCCCUCACAUUUACCACGACAAAGUUUUUCUGUAUUCAUUUAACUUUGUUGUCGCAUGUUAACGCAAACUUAUAUGAUGCAACUUAUCUCUUCCUUCCGAUUU